GAAAUGCGAUAAGUAAUGUGAAUUGCAGAAUUCAGUGAAUCAUCGAAUCUUUGAACGCACAUUGCGCCCCCUGGUAUUCCGGGGGGCAUGCCUGUCCGAGCGUCAUUACUGCCCCUCAAGCGCGGCUUGUGUGUUGGGCCGCCGUCCCCUGCGCCUCCGGGCAAGGGGGACGGGCCCGAAAGGCAGUGGCGGCGCCGCGUCCGGUCCUCGAGCGUAUGGGGCUUUGUCACCCGCUCAGUAGGUCGGGCCGGGGCCUUUGCCCUCUCCAACCUUUUUUUCCUUAGGUUGACCUCGGAUCAGGUAGGGAUACCCGCUGAACUUAA
rnacentral:misc_RNA from 1 species